UGGGCGUAAGGGCUCGCAGGCGGUUUCUUAAGUCUGAUGUGAAAGCCCCCGGCUCAACCGGGGAGGGUCAUUGGAAACUGGGGAACUUGAGUGCCUAAGAGGAGAGUGGAAUUCCACGUGUAGCGGUGAAAUGCGUAGAGAUGUGGAGGAACACCAGUGGCGAAGGCGACUCUCUGGUCUGUAACUGACGCUGAGGAGCGAAAGCGUGGGGAGCGAACAGGAUUAGAUACCCUGGUAGUCCACGCCGUAAACGAUGAGUGCUAAGUGUUAGGGGGUUUCCGCCCCUUAGUGCUGCAGCUAACGCAUUAAGCACUCCGCCUGGGGAGUACGGUCGCAAGACUGAAACUCAAAGGAAUUGACGGGGGCCCGCACAAGCGGUGGAGCAUGUGGUUUAAUUCGAAGCAACGCGAAGAACCUUACCAGGUCUUGACAUCCUCUGACAAUCCUAGAGAUAGGACGUCCCCUUCGGGGGCAGAGUGACAGGUGGUGCAUGGUUGUCGUCAGCUCGUGUCGUGAGAUGUUGGGUUAAGUCCCGCAACGAGCGCAACCCUUGAUCUUAGUUGCCAGCAUUCAGUUGGGCACUCUAAGGUGACUGCCGGUGACAAACCGGAGGAAGGUGGGGAUGACGUCAAAUCAUCAUGCCCCUUAUGACCUGGGCUACACACGUGCUACAAUGGACAGAACAAAGGGC
rnacentral:rRNA from 1 species